rnacentral:rRNA from 1 species
CACAUGUGUAAGAAAAAAUGGCAGUUAAGCACUUUUCAUUCUGUAAUGAGCGAGCUUCCGUAAGGGUGCCUGCGGAAGGAUCAUUA